rnacentral:rRNA from 1 species
UCUGGUUGAUCCUGCCAGUAGUCAUAUGCUUGUCUCAAAGAUUAAGCCAUGCAUGUCUAAGUACAAACCUUAAUACGGUGAAACCGCGAAUGGCUCAUUAAAUCAGCUAUGGUUCCUUAGAUCGUCUCAUCCUACUCGGAUAACUGUGGAAAAUCUAGAGCUAAUACGUGCUUACAAGCCCUGACCUCACGGGAGGGGCGCAUUUAUUAGAUCAAAACCAAUCGGGGCUUGCCCCGUCUGCUUGGUGACUCUGGAUAACUUUUGUGCUGAUCGCAUGGCCUCUGCGCUGGCGACGUAUCUUUCAAGUGUCUGCCCUAUCAACUUACGAUGGUAGGUGAUAUGCCUACCAUGGUUAUAACGGGUAACGGGGAAUCAGGGUUCGAUUCCGGAGAGGGAGCCUGAGAAACGGCUACCACAUCUAAGGAAGGCAGCAGGCGCGCAAAUUACCCACUCCCGGCACGGGGAGGUAGUGACGAAAAAUAACGAUACGGGACUCUUUUGAGGCCCCGUAAUUGGAAUGAGUACACUUUAAAUCCGUUAACAAGUAUCUAUUGGAGGGCAAGUCUGGUGCCAGCAGCCGCGGUAAUUCCAGCUCCAAUAGCGUAUAUUAAUGUUGCUGCAGUUAAAAAGCUCGUAGUUGGAUCUGAGGACUCGAAUUGGUGGUGCACCAUACGGUGUUACUGCCGAUUCGGCCUACCUAGUCGGUGCUCGCUCUUGGUGUUCUUAAUUGAAUGCCCUGAGUGCCCGGCAAGUUUACUUUGAAAAAAUUAGAGUGCUCAAAGCAGGCCAUUAGCCGGAAUACUUCAGCAUGGAAUAAUGGAAUAGGACUUCGGUUCUAUUUUGUUGGUUUUCGGAACCCGAGGUAAUGAUUAAGAGAGACAGACGGGGGCAUUCGUACUGCGGUGUUAGAGGUGAAAUUCUUGGAUCGCCGCAAGACGAACAACUGCGAAAGCAUUUGCCAAGAAUGUUUUCAUUAAUCAAGAACGAAAGUCAGAGGUUCGAAGACGAUCAGAUACCGUCCUAGUUCUGACCAUAAACGAUGCCAACUGGCGAUCCGAGAUCGUUUGCUUAUUGACCUCUCGGGCAGCCUCCGGGAAACCAAAGUUUUUAGGUUCCGGGGGAAGUAUGGUUGCAAAGCUGGAAACUGUUCAAUUGCAACUCUGCCUGUGACACCAAGUGGUCGGGUUACUUGGUCUGUUCUGGCCCGGAGUCGGUAGGGUUUCCGGCCUUGUGCUCUUUCCUUACUGUUCUCUGUAACGCCGAAGGCGGGGCUUCCACGGUGGGGAAGCGGUUGUACAAAUCCGGCAAAUCCAGCCAAAUGGGUUCCGGACUCUGUCCAACCUGCAACUGGUAACAGCCUCGGCUGGCUAACAUUUGAGCUGGGACUCGCUUGGGAGGAGCGAGGAUAAUAUAAACCUCUAUGUGACUGAGGUGAGGAAUCUGGUUCUCGUAAAAUGGCUGGAGAUCCCGAGCCUGUAAGUCAUAAAUUAGUUCCCCCACGAGGGGAGGUGUCGAAUUGAAGCCAGUGCGUGCCCUUACUAGUUUAAGGGAUUGUAUACUUCCUUUGGUGUACCCACCUGGAAGUGCCCAAGGGGUCCUAUCCCUGCACU